AGGCAAUAGAAGAUUGUCGCAGGACACACCACAUUCUUGACCAGGUGUUGCGACCAUUAUUUAAGCACUGAAAAAAGUACAUUGCAGUCAGUAUAAGCCAUGCUAUUCUGAUAGUUUUAGAAUGUAUGUAUUAUAUUAUAUUAUGUACCUGUACAUCUAAGAACCCCUUCAUGUUAUCCUCUCCAAUGCUAUCAGGCCGUGCGGCAAGUCGGCAACACACCUGCCCCCAUAGAGCCAGCUCAGGUGYGUGAACUUCUUCUGUUGAUACAGUUGAGGCUGAGAAACUGGCACCAACAAGGCCUAGCAACAGAAAAUGAAUGAUGCAAAUUAGCAAUUGAGCCAUGAAGAUAGAUAGUGAUACUUUCACAUGCUUGGGAAUUGAUAAUAACAGUAAACGCCAUGAAACUCCUCUGCAAAUGGUAAGACCUUCACAUGGCUCGGAUGACCACGUUAAUGGUGGUCCCCUCCCUAAUUAACUAGAGACGUUAAAAAACGAUCAUGAGUUUAUCAGCUGAA